GACGAACGCUGGCGGCGUGCUUAACACAUGCAAGUCGAACGGAAAGGCCCUGCUUUUGUGGGGUGCUCGAGUGGCGAACGGGUGAGUAACACGUGAGUAACCUGCCCUUGACUUUGGGAUAACUUCAGGAAACUGGGGCUAAUACCGGAUAGGAGCUCCUGCUGCAGGGUGGGGGUUGGAAAGUUUCGGCGGUUGGGGAUGGACUCGCGGCUUAUCAGCUUGUUGGUGGGGUAGUGGCUUACCAAGGCUUUGACGGGUAGCCGGCCUGAGAGGGUGACCGGCCACAUUGGGACUGAGGUACGGACCAGACUCCUACGGGAGGCAGCAGUGGGGAAUAUUGCACAAUGGGCGGAAGCCUGAUGCAGCAACGCCGCGUGCGGGAUGACGGCCUUCGGGUUGUAAACCGCUUUCGCCUGUGACGAAGCGUGAGUGACGGUAAUGGGUAAAGAAGCACCGGCUAACUACGUG
rnacentral:rRNA from 1 species